AUUGAACGCUGGCGGCAUGCCUUACACAUGCAAGUCGAACGGCAGCGGGGACUUCGGUCCGCCGGCGAGUGGCGAACGGGUGAGUAUUAUAUCGGAACGUACCUUUCAGUGGGGGAUAACGUAGCAAAAGUUACGCUAAUACCGCAUAUUCUGUGAGCAGGAAAGCAGGGGAUCGCAAGACCUUGCGCUGAUUGAGCGGCCGAUAUCAGAUUAGCUAGUUGGUGAGGUAAAGGCUCACCAAGGCGACGAUCUGUAGCGGGUCUGAGAGGAUGAUCCGCCACACUGGGGCUGAGACACGGCCCAGACUCCUACGGGAGGCAGCAGUGGGGAAUUUUGGACAAUGGGGGCAACCCUGAUCCAGCCAUGCCGCGUGAGUGAAGAAGGCCUUCGGGUUGUAAAGCUCUUUCGGCCGGGAAGAAAUCGCGCAGGCUAAUAUAGGGUGAGGUUGACGGUAUCUUGAUAAGAAGCACCGGCUAACUACGUGCCAGCAGCCGCAGUAA
rnacentral:rRNA from 1 species